UCUUUCAGCGAUGUCCGAGUGGUUAAGGAGAUUGGCUCGAAGUCACUUAGGUUCUGGCCGCGUAGGUUCGAAUCCUGCUCGGAGAG